CAAACGCAACAUUGAGUCACUGACUGUGUGGUUGUAGACUAUCUCCAUUUUCAUAGGAAUUGCCGCAGAAGAAUUUUCCAUUUUAUAAAGCUACCCAUGUUCUUUGCUAAUGUAGAAUCAUGAGACGCGUUAUUCCAUCAUUGCUCUUAAAUCUGUCAGUCUGCUAUGCUUUAAAAAGUCUCUGGUAUCCACCGCUUUAUUGGCAUAAAGACGAUUGUCGAUUCCAAACUGUUCGUAAAAAUGGAGCAUCUGAACUCUUCGUGAAAGUUAUUCACAGUGACUUUCAACACGGCGAUACAUAUGGCUGGACAUUGCUAUGUCCAACGAUCACUAUGAAUAACUGGAUGCCUGACAAGCCUGAUGAUACCUUGUUCUACGAAAACGUAUGGCAGGUGGAUAAAGACGGUUUCGAUAAAUGCAGGGUAAAUACUACAGGUGAUCCUAAAGUCAAUAGAUUAAUAUUGCUGUGUGACAACAAAAUGAAAGUCAAAAGGCAUUUUUUCUAUUUCAUUCAUAUGGACGGUUUAUAUCAUUAUUUCAAACCAUAUUUUGAAAAAGGAAAACAUUAUUAUUUCAUAUCAACGAGCACUGGUGAUGAUUUAACUCUCAAUAGAACAAAUAAUUUCGAUGAAGAUACUCAUUGUAGGAAAUAUACGAUGAAACUUCACAUUUACGUUUGUGAUCAUUUAAAAGAGGAUUGUCUUUAUGAGCUGCCAAAAUGCGGACCACCACAUGAUCUUUACCGAGACAUGCAACUAAUAAACGGGAAAUUACCUGCAGUUCCUCCAACUCAUGACUUACUUACAGUUGAAAAAAUUAUAACUCCCCAAAAAACCAUGGACAAGAAAAUAGAACAAGUUGUACAAACAGCAACAACGCAGCAAAAUGUCGCAGAAAAACCCCAAAGUACAUUAAAACCUUGUAAAAAAGAAGAUGAAGGAACUUCAAUUCAUCUCAUUCUAAAUUUUGUUCUUGGUGGUGUCGCAUUGUUUAUGGCUGUUGUCAUCAUUAUUCUUGUCUGUGGACUUUCCAACAGGCGUUUCAAGUCUUAUUAUGAUAUGGAUCGCCCACCAUCGGCCAUAUCAACCACUCACGGAGGACAUAUAGUUAAUGCUGAAAUCAUUAAUGCAGAGAUGGUUAGAUACAGUGAUGGACACGUACAAUUAUCUCCUGUUAUUCUAAGUCGUACACCACCGACGUCCCCAAGUGUCAUUGUACCACCCUAUCCAACACUACAAAGAAUACACUCAUCUCGAAAAAACACAUCAGAUUAUCAUCCUGUCGAAGAUAUUCCUAUUGGAGGAUUUACAGUAGAAGAUACUCCACAAGAACGAUCGCCCCUUGAAUCUCCUUCAUCCAAUGAAGCCUUUACAUUCCCUGAUCAUGUGAAGGCAGUGGAUUCCGACAGUCAGUCGAAUGGACCCGAAAUCUCUGACUCAAUUACAACAGAUGCCAUUGUAACAAAUCAUCUACAUGAUCAAAAGGCUGACACGUGAUAAAUGAAAGAUUUAUUUACUUUUUAGUGUGCAAGGAAACGUGUCUCAAAAAAUCAUAUCUUUCGUGACAAACAAUGUCAUUUUUGGAAUUAUUCAACCACUAGAGACUAGACUCUAGUCACUAGAGUAUGGACGUUCCUUGUAUUCAUGGCGCUGUUGUUUGCACAUUUAAAAUGUAAAAAGAUAACAUGCACACGGAAAUAUCAUUCUGCUACACGCUUGUAUGUUCAUAGAUUUUGAGGUGAAGUUAUAUUUUUUUAGUACAAUGGAUUCAUAGCCUUUAUUGUCAUUUUUAUGGAAGACUGUCAUUCACCUUUUUAACUGACGACAAACUAAUCUUACUUGUUAUGAUAAAGAAUGUUUUUAACGCAUUUGCUGUCUGGAUAUUUACCGAAUACAAUCUUACAGUUUAAAAACGAUUAAAUUGUAUUAUAGUAGUCGACAAGAAAAUUUUCGUUCACCAUACGUCUAUGUUGUUUUGGUGUAUGGAAACCAGUUUUAUGAGACAAUUCCAAUAUGGCGAUUUUUCACUGCACAUGGAGUAUAAUAAAGGGCUCAAGAAAAGUUUAAAAACAUCAUUUGGAUGAUAACGUUUACAUAAAAUGGGAAAAGAAAAAGCAUUGAACAACAAAAGGAGCAAUCUUGUGCAAGAUUUGACUGAAAGUGACACUGUAAAACGUCGAAAUCGCCCGGGCAAAGAACGACCGCGACAAAGUGAAAAUAAUUCUCAGUGUGUCAAUGAGAAAUUGUCCAGAAAGAUUAUCGAUCAGGCGUUAAAACAACAAGAUGACUUGCAAGCUGAGUAUGUUGGGGCCAGCUUUUCAAAGAGAAAAAAGUCUUUAUUAGUCACGAAGACAUCUCAUGAAGAUGUUGUCAAGGCUAAAUUUGACGUUGAUGAUAGCAGUGAGGAAGAAGAUUUCUCAGAGAGAGAGGAGCAGUAUUAUGAAGAUGUGCAUGUUGACGAGGAAGAUGAAAAGGCUUUGGAGAUGUUUAUGUCAAAAGAACCACCACAGAGACAAACACUUGCUGACAUUAUUAUGGAGAAAAUUAAGGACAAAAAAACAGAGAUUGAAAGUCAGAUGUCUGAGCAAAGUUUGGCUCCCGCACCUAUGGAUGAACGACUUGUGAAAGUUUUUACUGGUGUUGGGGACAUUCUCAGCAAUUAUCGCUCAGGAAAACUACCUAAAGCAUUCAAAAUAAUACCAUCUUUAAAGAAUUGGGAAGAGGUUGUCUAUAUAACCCAUCCAGAAAAUUGGACAGCAGCUGCCAUGUAUCAGGCGACAAGAAUUUUUGUCUCAAACUUCAAUGCAAAGUUGGCUCAAAGAUUUUUUAAUCUUAUCUUGCUGCCUCGUGUACGAGAUGAUAUUGCUGAGUAUAAGAGACUUAAUUAUCAUUUGUAUCAGGCUCUGAUGAAAGCUUUGUUUAAGCCAGCAGCAUUUUUUAAGGGUAUUUUGCUGCCCUUAUGUGAAUCUGGCACCUGCACCCUGCGUGAAGCAAUUAUUAUGGGCAGUGUAGUCACCAAGACGAGCAUACCAGUCCUCCAUGCUAGUGCGGCCAUGUUAAAGUUAGCAGAAAUGUAUUAUUCAGGGGCAAACAGUAUAUUAUUACGGCUUCUUCUUGAUAAAAAAUACGCUCUACCUUAUCGUGUCAUUGAUGCUGUGGUCUUCCAUUUUCUGAGAUUUUGAGCGAUAAACGAACUCUACCAGUUUUGUGGCAUCAAUGUUUUUAACAUUUGUACAAAGGUACAAGCAAGAUAUAUCCAGUGAACAAAAAGAAGCGUUACUUGAAGUUUGUCGUAUGCACACUCAUGAUCAGAUAACUCCAGAAAUACAACGAGAGCUUCUUCAUUCGUCCUCACGUGAUGUUGAGAUAUCCAAUCAGAUGGAAGUGUAGACAAAGUGAUGAAGAUGUAAAUAAUAAUGAAUCUAUAAGUUUCAUGAAAAUUCAAUAAACUAGGUCUGGAAGAAUGUGGAACAGUAUCUUCAACCCAUAUCAA